AUAGGUAGAAUACUCUGAGAAAUUAUGCGAAUAAUGCGAUAGCACACAAUGGGUCAGGAAAUGCGUUGUUUUUCUGAAAAACUAAAGCUGAUGACUGUCAUAUCAUGAGUCACUUUAGCAUCAUGAGACUGCUGUUUGAUAAAUUCAGAAACAAACCAAAAAGCAAGCCAUGCAAGAAUAAAAAAAAACUAUUUAAUGAUGCUCUCUCCACACUGGGAUAAAUAAUAAGAAACGGAUCACGUCUAAUGUGGACAUAUCAGACACCUUGUGAAACACUAAAGGAAAAAUUCAGUUUCGAGCUAUGGCACUUGCCGCAUAGAUGUGGGGGCCUUGCACCAAUAGUAAUAGUUACCACUGCAUCUAGAAAUUUAAAGCAUUCAUGCAGACAAGGAUGAUUCUUUAUAUUUUUGGCUACCACUUCAAAUGCCUCCACUAAGUGUUACAAUGCUGCACGUAGCCAUACUAAGGAUCUCACAGCAACACUUGCAGGUAAACAGCAAAAGCAGUCAAAGUGCUGGUGUAUUCUGGACACUGCCUUUGAAAACUUUUAGGCAAGAACAGUGCAAGAAACAGACAUAAGAACUGCAUUUAUUUCUAUAAUUCCCCAUUUGAAUGGCCUUUUCUUUUUCCUUCGACAAUGCCUUCGCCUAGCCACAGCAGCUCCCUCAUACAGACUCCGCAAGCCAAGAGGCCGUGGAGGCAAAUGCAGACAGCCAGCACACCUCGAACAGCCACCUUGAACAGCCACCUUGACUGCGGGUGUGUCACCCUAGUCGCCAAGGAAACAUUUGAGGGAAAGCGACAGGCAAUGUGAACAGCCACUUCUCCAUGUAAACGAUACUCUUUCUCUCGGAUGACUCCUACGUUCGCCACGCCAGCACACUUGUGCACAAAGAUGCCGCGGAGGCACGUGCAGGUCAGAGGCAAGAAGCAGUGGCACUGGUGUCGACAUUCGCCCAAUUUCUUUUUCUUACACUGAGGCAGCCAGCACACCUCGAACAGCCACCUUAACUGCGGGUGUGUUAGUAGAUUCCUGUUGUACAUAUGCUCAUAAUAAACUUCAGUAACCUUGAACUUGAUAAUAAACUUGAAGGCAAAUGGGA